GAGAGGGGGCAGCAGGCGAUGGCGGCGGCGGCGGCGGCGGCGGCGGGUCGGCUAGGCUGGUUGCUCGCCGCGCUCUGCCUGGGCAACGCUGCCGGGGAGGCGGCGUCGGGCCCGCGAGUGCUGGGUGUCUGUCUGGAGGAGGACGGAGCGGCGGGCGCGGGGUGGGCGCGCGGAGGGGAGAUGCGGGCCGCUCCGGAGGCCACCUUCCGCCUGCGCUUCUUCGGCUCGGGCUUCGCCAACAGCUCCUGGUCCUGGGUGGCCCCUGAGGGGGCGGGUUGCCCCGAGGGCGGGCCGGCCGCGGCGUCCGACGAGGCGGCGGCCCCCACGGGCGAGUGGCGCGCGCUCCUGCGCCUGCGCGCUGAGGCUGUGCGCCCGCACUCGGCGCUGCUGGCGGUGCGCGGGGAGCCGAGCGGCGCGGCGGCAGAAGAGGCGGCGGCCCCCACGGGCGAGUGGCGCGCGCUGCUGCGCCUGCGCGCCGAGGCUGUGCGCCCGCAUUCGGCGCUGCUGGCCGUGCGUGUGGAGCCGGGCGGCGGGGCAGCCGAGGAGGCGGCGCCGCCCUGGGCUCUGGGCCUGGGGGCGGCGGGGCUGCUGGCGCUGGCGGCGCUGGCGCGGGGCCUGCAGCUGAGCGCGCUGGCGCUGGCGCCGGCCGAGGUGCAGGUGCUGCGCGAGAGCGGCUCGGAGGCGGAGCGUGCGGCGGCGCGGCGCCUGGAGCCCGCGCGGCGCUGGGCCGGCUGCGCCCUGGGCGCGCUGCUGCUGCUGGCCAGCUUGGCGCAGGCGGCGCUGGCGGUGCUGCUGUACCGCGCGGCCGGCCAGCGCGCCGUGCCCGCCGUACUCGGCAGCGCGGGGCUCGUGUUCCUGGUGGGCGAGGUGGUGCCGGCCGCCGUGAGCGGGCGCUGGACGUUGGCGCUGGCGCCGCGCGCGCUGAUCCUCAGCCGCCUGGCAGUGCUGCUCACCUUGCCCGUGGCGCUGCCCGUGGGUCAGCUGCUGGAGCUGGCGGCGCGGCCAGGGCGGCUGCGCGAGCGCGUGCUGGAACUGGCGCGCGGCGGCGGCGACCCCUACAGCGAUCUCAGCAAGGGCGUGCUGCCCUGCCGGACCGUGGAGGACGUGCUCACGCCCCUCGAGGACUGCUUCAUGCUGGACGCCAGCACCGUGCUGGACUUCGGCGUCCUGGCCAGCAUCAUGCAGAGCGGCCACACGCGCAUCCCCGUGUACGAGGACGAGCGUUCCAACAUCGUGGACAUGCUCUACCUCAAGGACUUGGCCUUCGUGGACCCCGAAGACUGCACGCCGCUCAGCACAAUCACCCGCUUCUACAGCCACCCACUCCACUUUGUCUUCAACGACACCAAGCUAGACGCCGUCCUGGAGGAGUUCAAACGAGGGAAGUCCCACCUGGCCAUCGUGCAGAAGGUGAACAACGAGGGCGAAGGUGACCCCUUCUACGAGGUGCUGGGCCUGGUCACCCUGGAGGACGUCAUCGAGGAGAUCAUCAAGUCCGAGAUCCUGGACGAGUCUGAAGACUACCGAGACACCGCAGUGAAGAAGAAGCCUGCGUCUCUGAGCGCCCCUCUCAGGCAGAAAGAGGAAUUCUCUCUGUUCAAGGUGUCUGACGAUGACUGUAAAGUGAAAAUCUCACCUCAGCUGCUCUUGGCCACCCAGCGCUUCCUUUCCCGAGAGGUGGAUGUAUUCAGCCCGCUGCGAAUCUCCGAGAAGGUCCUGCUGCACCUGCUGAAGCAUCCCAGCGUCAACCAGGAAGUGAGGUUUGACGAGAGCGACCGCCUGGCCGCCCACCACUACCUGUACCAGCGCAGCCAGCCGGUGGACUAUUUCAUCCUCAUCCUGCAGGGCAGGGUUGAGGUGGAGAUCGGGAAAGAGGGCUUGAAGUUCGAGAAUGGGGCCUUCACCUACUACGGAGUGUCCGCCCUGACGGCGCCGUCCUCGGUUCACCAGUCCCCGGUGUCCUCGCUCCAGUCCAUCCGCCACGACCCGCUGCCCGAGCCCGCCGAAGGCACCCGCUUGUCUGCGUACUGUCCUGACUACACUGUGAGGGCGCUCUCUGACCUGCAGUUCAUCAAGGUCACGCGGCUGCAGUACCUCAAUGCACUCCUGGCCACCCGAGCCCAGGCCGUGCCGCAGUCCCCUGAGAACGCAGACCUCCAGGCCGUCCCAGGCAGCCAGACCCGGCUCCUUGAUGACAAGACAGCCACAGCCACAGCUUUCCCAGUAGGCCUUUCCCUCUUUGGCACAUUUGGAAACUGCAGUUGAUAAUUGACUGUGGACUAGUGAGCAUUUUUUGUUUUAAGACAACAUGCAAGGGUCCAGCCACAGCAGACCCGGCCUCCCGGCGGAGGAGAGCCCGGGGCGGAACCCGGGAGUUUAACCGCUUGGCUGGCAGCCCCGAGUGUGGGGAACGGACCGUCAUGUGGGGAACUGGAGCAAGCCGAGGAGCGGCUUCCUGCCAGCCUGUCCCCACUCCCUGCAGGCCACGUUUUAGAUGGCCCUCGUGGACGCGGCUCCUGGCUGCCCUCGGAGCCAGAGGCCGGUGCCAGGAGCCUCAGCAGGUCCUGCCCCCCUUUAGGAGAUGGGGGUCCGCCGGGGCCAGCCCUCCAGGCCUGCUUCUGAACGGAAUGAAAGGAACAGUGCCAUCUCCAGUCCCUGGGCCAGCCUCCCUGUGACAGUGCAGUGUAUUUAUACCUCUUCUGGCCAAGCCACGAUGUGAGUGCACGAUUACUGCCUUUCUGUGGCCCUGACCUGUACUCUCUUUGCUUUUAAUUUGCCAGCCUUCUGCUGCUGGCAGCACUUUUUGAGCAAACCAGGAGCACCAGUGUGGGCUGGGGGUUCACAUCCAUGGCCUUGGCCACGGUGACCUUUUUGGCUUCCCUUACGAUGCCAUGCUUCAGAUCACGCGCCCAGCCUGUCCCACGUGCCAAACCUGGAAGCAGGUCUAUCGCACCAGCCCCGCUCCCUCCCGUGCGGGUGGCUUUCUCGCGCUGGCCCCUGCGGGGCUGAGGAACCUCCUCCUCCUGCCACUCCUCCGCCUGCCUGGCCCAGUCGCCGCUAACAGUAUUGUCGUUUCCUGUGUUUUAAGAAGAGCUCACACGUGGGAGGAAGGGACCGCUCUGCUGCACCUAAGCCUUUGUCGUGGGGUUCCGGGGAGGGCAGCCCGCGGCCCCCGGGGGCGCCGUGCGGCUGUCAGGUGCGCGGAGGGCGGCCAGGGCUGGCUGUGAGCCAGGUAGACCCCUCUCCGUCCUUUGGAAAAAAGAACAUGACAUCGGAGUCUUUCUUAGAUCUCUGAAACAUUUCAAGCUCUUUGCUUUUUUCCUGUUCUAGCUCUGGGGUUUUAGAGAAGUGGGAACAAGAAGGCAUUUGUCUCGCCUUCCGGUUCACCUAAACUCACCUUCCACAGCGCUUCAGCUGCACAGAAACCAGGGCAUCGCGGGACCGAGGAUGGGGAGGGAGGAGGAUUUCUGGAACCUUUCCCAAAGGCAUUUGGGUCCUUAUCCAGGAUCAGUGGGAAUGAAGGCCAAAAACAGUGGCAUGCUCACUGAGAGACUUUUCUCAAGGAAUUCUCUCCAAGAGCAAACCCAGGUGGGAAGUAGAUACUUUAAAAUUCUCUCUCUCCAGAACAGUGGUUCUUAGCCUUGGCUGCACAUUGGAAAUCACCUGGCAAAUUAAAAAUACUGAUACCUGGGGCCCAGCCCCCAGGGAUUCUGAUUGAAUCAGUCCAGGCAUCAGGAUUUUAUUCUUUAAAAUUAUUUUAGGUUCACAGAUCAUAUACCCUUCAUACCCGCUUCCCUGAAUUUUAUCUCACAUAACCUUGAUGCAUUUUUCGAAACUAAAAAAUUAACAUGGGUACAAAACUAUUAACUAAAUUACAGACUUUACUUGGAUUUUUAUCAAAUUUUCCAUCAUGUCCCUUUUCUGUUGCAGGAUCCAAUCCAGGAUACCAAGUUGCAUUUAGAGCUAUUGCUUUUCUUUUUUUCCUAAGUAACUUCUUACUUUGAAAUAAUUAACAGAUUCAUAGGAAGUUGCAAAGAUAGAGGUCCCAUGUACCCUUCACCCAGUUUUCCUCAGUGAUUACACCUUACAUAGUUACAAUGCAGUAUCAAAACCAGGAAUCUGACACUGGUGCAAUGUGGGCAUAUAGUUCUAUAGCAUCUUAUCAUAUGUAGAUUUGUGUAACCACCACUGCAAUCUAGAUACAGAACUGUUCCUCCCUAGGAUCUCCCUCCAACAGACCCUUUUAAAGCCACCCCCACCCCCUCUGGCCACUGUCCCUAAUUCCUGGCAACCACUAAUCUGUCCAUCAUCUCUAUAAUUUUGUCAUUUCAAGAAUGUUGUAUAAAUGGGAUCUUACAGUAUGUAACCAUUGGGACUGGCUUUUUUCACGCAGCAUAAUGUUCUGGAAUCUCCUCCAGGCUGUUGCACGUGUCAACGGCUCAUUCCUUCUUGAUUGCUGUGUGGUGUUCCAUCAAAUACUCACUGCCCUGUCUAAGGACAUCUGGGUGGUUUCCAGUUUUUGGCUAUUCCAAAUAAAGCUGCUAUGAACAUUCA